GCUUCACUUUCAGCCUUGUGCUGGGGGUGAGCCCGAUUGCAAUUGUUGUUUGUCUAAUAAAUGUACUUAUAUGCAGCUCCGGAGUCCUGAGGUAACUAGGGUGAAUUUUCAUCUAUCAUAUUUGGGGGCUCUUGUCCGGGAUUCCAACAACCUCAUCGACUCUCCAUGCUGGGCUAAUCAUCAGGACCUGAACCGUGCGGAGGCUUACGAGACUCCGUUUUUCUUAAGACCUCAAACUUGAAUUGGAAGGAGGCCAGGGCCUGCCAGCGAGGAGAGCCGAGAGUGAAGGAAUUGAAUUAGACUAUAGGGGUUGGACUCCGAGCUGUUUGAACACUGUGAGGCUGAAACCAAGGUUGGGCCAGGAGAUUGGGUCCUAAUCAACAGCCUCAAAAGAAAACACUGCCACUUGCCCAAGUGGGACAGACCAUACCAAGUGCUACUGUCAACACCUACCGCAGUCAAAAUAGCUGAGAGAGCCACGUGGAUACUUCUGGCUCAAUGCAAACGGCAAACACAGGCCCUGGACGAAUAUCCACGAUGGGACCUGGCUAAAGAUCAUCCGUGGUGGAAAUGGGUAAAUCAGACUGUCAGAACGCACUACCACAAGGUCCAAGACUCACCAGUACCUGAGGAACGUUCCAAUGCAUUCCGUACGAGGGAGGAGAGAAGCAGGGGAUGACAGCGGGAUCUGGUUCGAUGGCCUGGGCAUUCCCUGAGGCAUUCCAGACCACUACAACCCAGCAGCCAAUGGCCUGGCAUCUACCCUCUGCACCUGGUGCGUCAUUUGAGCACACACAGAUUGGAUUAACUUCCUUUACUAUGCUGAGAUGAAGUUCCAAAACCUGACCAGAGACAGACUACAAAAGAUCAGAGAAGAACUACACGCCAACUCCAGGUUAACGCGGCAAAACACAGCUGUGCUUGAAAUUCUCACUGCCAUGAAUGGAGGCAUUUGUGUCAUGCUUGGUACUGACCAAUGUUGCACAUAUGUCCCUGAUAACACCCGAGAUGGGAAAGACUUGUCAGUUGUCAAACAAAAUGCCUGAUGGGGAACAGGGCCUUCAAGGACACAGCAAAGAAACCUUGUUUGAAUGUUAUCUGAAGCCUAGGCGAGCUAAUGACACACACACAGUCGACACCCACUAUGUUGGCCUACAAAUGCAAAGUAUACAAAUGUAUGAUGAGAAAUACGAUGAUUGACUUAUAAUGAUAUGGAGUGAUGCUCAGUAAUGAUCUCUGUUCCGAAAAUCCAUGUGAUAAAGCUCAGAGUGAUGAUUUUGAGGUUAUCCAUUGAAAUUGAUAAUUGACAAAUUAAGAAAGAUGAUUUGUGAUUUUAAUUUUGAUUUUGAUUGUGAUUUUUAAUUAUCCAUUGAAACGGAUAAAAGGAGGGAUAGAUGGAGAUAAUUUGCAAACACUGUUAAUUACUUAAGAAUGUAUGAAUCAUGUGCUUAUGAAAUGGCUUUUCUGUGUGUGUGUGUAACUUAGAAUAUUAGGUGCCACUUAGUCUGCAUAUGUACAAGAGCAUGUUUAGACCAGAGGUGAUAAGAAGGUUCGAACUGUGCUUCUUCCAACCUUGCAAAACUUCCAUCCUUGCCUCAGGCGUCAGAAAUCCACCACGUGGUUAUCUCUGCUGAACGCUCAACUUCGGUCUAUAUAAACCUUGUGCGAUGUGUUUAUCAUUGCUUCACUUUCAGCCUUGUGCUGGGAGUGAGCCCGAUUGCAAUUGUUGUUUGUCUAAUAAAUAUACUUAUAUGCAGCUCCGGAGUCCUGAGGUAACUAGGGUGAAUUU
ensembl:lncRNA